rnacentral:tRNA from 2 species
CUCCGCGUGGUGAAAUGGAUAUCAUGCAGCCCUCCGAAGGCUGCGGUACAGGUUCGAUUCCUGUCGCGGGGA